rnacentral:rRNA from 1 species
AUACCGGGCCUUUUUUGGGCUUGGUAAUUGGAAUGAGGGAGAGUUAAACGGACCAUCGAGUAUCCAUUGGAGGGCAAGUCUGGUGCCAGCAGCUGCGGUAAUACCAGCUCCAAUAGCGUAUAUUAAAGUUGUUGCAGUUAAAAAGCUCGUAGUUGGACUUGUGUGCGCUGUCCGCGGGUGGCCUGCGCCCAAAAGGGCGUUUCGGUUCGGCCCCGGUGGCGCCUUGAAAUCUGCAGCUGGGGGGACGUUGGCCUUAACUGGUCGGCGACCGCACGCCGGCUGCUCGGUUACUGUGAGAAAAUUAGAGUGUUCAAGGCAGGCAUUGGUUGCAAUUGAAUACAUUAGCAUGGAAUAAUAAAAUAUGGCUCCUGCCGUAUUUUGUUGGUUUUGACUGGUGGGAGUAAUGAUUGAUAGGGACGGUUGGGGGUGCUAGUAUUGAGCGGCUAGAGGUGAAAUUCAUGGAUUCGCUCAAGACUAACUUAUGCGAAAGCAUUCACCAAGGACGUCCUCUUUAAUCAAGAACGAAAGUUGGGGGAUCGAAGACGAUCAGAUACCGUCGUAGUCUCAACCAUAAACUAUGUCGACUUGGGAUCGGCGGUAGUUUUUUCAUUAAGACACUGUCGGGACCACGGGAGAAAUCAAAGUGUCUGGACUCUGGGGGAAGUAUGGUCGCAAGGCUGAAACUUGAAGGAAUUGACGGAAGGGCACCACCAGGAGUGGAGCCUGCGGCUUAAUUUGACCCAACACGGGGAAACUUACCAGGUCCAGAGAUGUAGAGGAUUGACAGAUUGAAGCUCUUUCUUGAUCACUUCGGUGGUGGUGCAUGGCCGUUCUUAGUUGGUGGAGUGAUUUGUCUGGUUAAUUCCGUUAACGAACGAGACCUCAGCCUGCUAGUGUAGUCGGCUGGAUUGCCUUUGGCGAUCCGUGAUUUCGACUUCUUAGAGGGACAAUCGACGCGCAGUCGAUGGAAGUUUGAGGCAAUAACAGGUCUGUGAUGCCCUUAGAUGUUCUGGGCCGCACGCGCGCUACACUGCUGGGCUCAGCGAGUUUUACUUGGCCGAGAGGCCCGGUUAAUCUUGUGAAAUCCCAGCGUGCUUGGGCUCGCCUCCUGCAACUGGAGGCGCCAACGAGGAAUUCCUAGUAGACGCAGGUCAUCAACCUGCAUCGAUUACGUCCCUGCCCUUUGUACACACCGCCCGUCGUUCCAUAAGAGUGAGGCAUCCGGUGAAUUCUCGGGAGAGCCUGGGCGUGGCCAGCAAUGGUCUGCUCGGGUUUGAACUUGCAUAAACUUGGUGCCUAUGAUUAGGG